rnacentral:rRNA from 1 species
UACGUAGGGGGCAAGCGUUGUCCGGAUUCAUUGGGCGUAAAGAGCGUGUAGGCGGCCAGGUAGGUCGGUUGUGAAAACUGGAGGCUCAACCUUCAGAGGUCGACCGAAACCAUCUGGCUAGAGUCCGGGAGAGGAGAGUGGAAUUCCUGGUGUAGCGGUGAAAUGCGCAGAUAUCAGGAAGAACACCCGUGGCGAAAGCGGCUCUCUGGAACGGUACUGACGCUGAGACGCGAAAGCUAGGGGAGCAAACGGG